UGCGUAGGCGGGUCUUUAAGUCAGGGGUGAAAUCCUGGAGCUCAACUCCAGAACUGCCUUUGAUACUGAAGAUCUUGAGUUCGGGAGAGGUGAGUGGAACUGCGAGUGUAGAGGUGAAAUUCGUAGAUAUUCGCAAGAACACCAGUGGCGAAGGCGGCUCACUGGCCCGAUACUGACGCUGAGGACGAAAGCGUGGGGAGCAAACA
rnacentral:rRNA from 1 species